UGGCUCAGUUGGUAGAGCGUGGUGUUUGCAACACCAGCAUGGUGUGUGCAACGCCAGGGUUGUGGGUUCGAUUCCCAC
rnacentral:tRNA from 1 species